rnacentral:lncRNA from 1 species
ACGCACGGGAUGAACUCAUGAAAGAGUGAGUAACCCGAGAAGCUGUCAGUGAGAGAGAGAAGCCGUCGAUGGGGGAGGAGGCGGCGAAGCGGCAGCAGCAUCCGCGAUGAUGUCGGCGUCCGUUCCGCCGGGCGGAGCCCCUGGUCACGGCGGAGCCCGCGGCCAAGGAUUUGCGCCGUGUUUUUGGUACUCAGGUCGCGAUUGGGGGGUUGACGAGUUGUCCCGAUACAGCAUGGCAGUGGUGAACCGACAACAAGCCACUGAUGAUGGAGGGGGAGUGGAAGAGGAGAUAAGAAAGGAAAUAAUGCUCGGAAGCCUACUAGAGGGUGCGCGAUUGGGCAAACAAGCCUCUAGACAUAGGGGCGUGUGUUUGGGCGAAAUGCUUGCAGCUUGCGGGGCAGCAGGAGGUGAUUUUAGAGUUUGCUUCAAAAAAUAAAAGUAAGUGAUCAUAAUCUAUUUGCUUGGUCAUGUAGAUAGAAUCUUAUAAAACUGGUUGAUACCCCGCGCGUUGCUGCGGGCAUAGAAGUACAAUUAUCAAUGUGCAACAUUAGUGCAAACAAUCUAAAUAAAUUUGCUUAUAAUUUGCUGAGAAUCUCUUAAUGAUAGUUCUGAUCCCACUGAUGUAUGAUAGUAUAUGAAAUCUUCAUCUGCUGGCCGAAAUUUCAAAAUAGAGAAACAAUAGUAUACAGUAAAGAUCUGAUUGCUUGUGAACGUUUAGAAUGAAAGAAACAAAAGCCUAAAAAAUUAUAUAUUUAUUAGGCAUCAUUACUAUAAUUCAUAAAAUUGUAUGCUUCCAGAUCAUGGAUUGCUGCAUACCUUAGCAAAAAUAAACCUUCACCUAAUGUGGAUGGUUCAAAAUCUAAAAGAUGACCCAAUUUUAUAUAUGAGCAUUGAGGGAAGCAUCAAGCAUACAUAGGAGUUUGGGCACUUGACAUCCGGAUCACUUAUAGUAUUUGUUAAGAGAUUACCAACAAAAUAAUUCCAUUUAAUCAAUUGAAAUGUGAAUGGGAUCAUGGCACCUG